GCCCCGUAGCUCAGCUGGAUAGAGCAACGGACUUCUAAUCCGUAGGUCGCAGGUUCGAAUCCUGCCGGGCGCGCCA
rnacentral:tRNA from 1 species